UAUGUCUAACUCCAGUUCCUCAUUCCUCCCAUCAGAGUUCACCCCAACUGCUAUUAGGGGUUUGGAAACGCCAGCCAUGAGCUGCCAAAGAGAGUGCUGAAGGAGGAGCAGCGGUCAGAGUACCUCAGAGGAGGCACCAAGUCUGCCUGCUUCCCACCAUGAUGACAAUGCACUAAACCUCUGAGACUAAGCCAGCCCCAAUGAAACGGUUUGUUGGUGGUGGUGGUGGUGGUGGUUUGUUUGUUUUUUUUUUAAGAUUUAUUUUAUGUAUGUGAGCACACUGUCACUGUCUUCAGACACACCAGAAGAGGGCAUUGGAUCCCAUUACAGAUGGUUAUGAGCCACCAUGUGGUUGCUGGGAAUUGAACUCAGGACCUCUGGAAGAGCAGUCAGUGCUCUUAACUGCUGAGCCAUCUCUUCAGCCCCCAUGUUUUUCUUUUUUCUUUUUUUUUUUUUUUUUUUGGUUCUUUUUUUCGGAGCUGGGGACCAAACCCAGGGUCUUGCGCUUCCUAGGUAAGCGCUCUACCACUGAGCUAAAUCCCCAGCCCCUGUUUUUCUUUUUAAGAAUUACUGUGGUCACAGCAUCUGCUCACAGCAAUAGAGCACCCUAACUAAGACAAUAAGAAAGCCAUUUGAUGACUGUGAAAUAGAGUGUCUCAGUUGUAAAACAUGUUUCCUAUGAGAUUACAGUUGAGCUUGGUCAGGUCAGCCCAAACAGAAAUGUCUACGGACAGCCUGUCUCCCAGGGUGGUGUGUCCCACCUUGGGGAAACAAUUUCAGGAAGAAACUGUAGGAGAGAAGUGUGAGCAGUGGCAGCAACAACUUCCUCAUUCCCAAGCCCCUCGCAGCACCCCUACAAAAUCUUACAGCCAGCUUCUUUUCUUGGCAGACCCCCUCAAUUUCCUGAGGGAGAAGGGCUGCCCCUCCCUGUAUGCUAAUAAACACAGUCCCAUCCAUCGGGGGUCAGACUCUGGUCUCUCUCUGCCUUGUGUCUCUUCAUGCUGACUUAGAACUCUAACGGUGUGUACACUAAGAGCGUGAUACGUGAGUGAGUUAGUGUCUAUGACAUAUAAACAGUGAGACUGGCCAGGCACAGUGGUGCAUGUCUUUAGUCCCUGCACUUGGGAAGCAGAGGCAGGUGAAACUCUGUGAGUUUGAGGCCAGCCUGGUCUACAAAGCAAGUUCAGGACAGUCAGAGCUACACAGAGAGAUCCUGCUUAAAAAAAAAUUUAAAAAAAGGUGAGCCUUUUAUAGGCAUUACCAAGGCUGAUGAUUUCUUUGACAUCAUUUCCACUAUAAAAUGUACACCAUGGAAAAGGACAGAAGUUUGGCUUGAGAGCUGGAGACAAUAUUCACCGGCCAGUGUACGAUGGCUGGUUGCCAGGAGCCAGUAUUCCAUCAACAGAGGCAUCAGAUGGUGGGGUAAAUGUCCAACCAAUGGAGUGAGACUCAAUUACAGACCUGCGCUAGGAUUAAAAAUCUAAGUAAAUCUCACACCUCAGCACAAUUUCUCUCUCCUAGGCUACAGCAACAAUUGUUAGAUUUCAGGGAGAAGGGGAAGAUAUUUGAGGAAGAGGAGUACUGAGUGUUGUUUUAUAAAAUGGCGGUAUAAUGCAGCAGAAGGGAGGAUCUUGAUGGGACCAUGCCGAGGCAUCCCCCUGAACAGUCAUACUGACAGGCCUAGUAUAAAAGGAAGUUUACUGGGGAAGAAAAGGGGUCUUGGGAAAGGGGUAGAGACAGAGAAAGGUGGGGGACAGAGAAGGACAGAAGAAGGGAGAAGAGAAGAAGAGAGGAAGAGGCUGCAGGGAACACAUGAAGAAGAGAGAAAGAAGGAGAUGGAGAGAGAGUGUGUGUGUGAUAUAAGUAAGUUUAUAUGCCUGGCUCCUGACUUGUACCUAUUGGGUGGAAAUAUGCAAGUUGUAGCUAGGUAGCCAUUGGGCAGAGUCUAGCAGAAAAGUCAACACUAAAUCAAAAUCAUCCAAUCAAGAGAUUGCCUUGUUGGAGUAGGUGUGGUUUUAUGGGGGGAUCCUGUACUGUGGAGAUGUCCUGUAAGGUCUCAUUUGUUCAAACUACGCCUUAAUGUGGCAGUCUCCUACCUGUGGACACAGAUGUAGAACGCUCAGCUGCUUCUCUAGCACCGUGCCUGCCUGCAUGCUUCUAUGCUUCCCUCCAUGGUGACAAUGGACUAAACCUCUGAACUGUAAGCCAGCCCCAGUGAAAUGUUUUCCUUUAUAAGAGUCGCCAUGGUCACAGUGUCUUUUCACACCAAUAAGACCCUAAGGAUGACAUUGAAUAUAACCAAAAUAAGUCAUAAAGGGGUGGGGAGUCUGAAGAAACCCAGUCCAGCCAGACAAAGCAAAGCAUCUAUGAGGUUUGCAAAGGAAAGCAAUGACUUGCAUUAUAAGAACGCAGGCUUAGCUAAUAUCUAAUCUAGACUACGAGAUUCAGGGAUCAGGAGGUAAAAGUGUUUAUCGUGCACUUGAGUUCAAGUUCCCAGAAUCCAUAUACAAUUCAGAUGCGGAGAUGAUCUGUAAUCCCUGCACUCCUCUGAGAGAGAUGUAAGCCGAGCCAGGAGAAACCCGGAAGCUUGUGAGCCGGCUAGCAGGCCAGCUAACCUAGCAGAUACAGCAGAGAAAAAUCAGUAAGAUCCGGCCCAAAACAAGGCAGAAGGCAAGGGCUGGCAUUCAAGGUUGUCUUCUGACCCCUGCUGGAAAAGAAUAACCCCAGUGUCACACAGAGGGCACACGAACGAAGCGGAAGAAACCUGGCAAGGCGACUUCUUUUUGUAGAAAGGGUAAUCGAGCCAUGACUGAAAAGCAGCAGCACACACUGCAUGGGGGCCUCUGUCUUUUAUCCCUAACGUGAGGAACAGCUUACGCCGUUCCUCAUUGCCUGAAAUCCAACCCUAGAGUCUGCUCCCAGCUGGCUAAUUUUAAAAGUGUCUUGAAAAGAAAGACAGAAGGAGAAUGCAGAAUUAUCAAUAUUUAAGCGUUUCGGGAAUUCCAGGAAGCUGAUUACACCCGGUCGGGCUCAUCUAACAAAGGAUUAACGAAAGUGAUGAGGUGCAGACGUGACAACGAUACGCAGCCAUUAGGCAUACUACAUAGUGAGAAUUUUGACUUCUUUAAAAGUAUAGAAAUGUGAAUAUGUUUUUGUUUUAACCCCAGGUCUGGCAUAUGGGGAUCCUUCAGAUUGUUCAUAGCAGCUAAGUUCGAUUUGUCUCAGGCUCUGGCAGGAGCGAGCAUGAUUUUGCUGGCUGAAGAGAGUUUACGUUUGGAAUUCUGGGGACUCUUGAAGGGCUGUAAAAAUGCCAGGGCCUUGAGUGGCUGCAAGGCCCAGGCGCCAAGGCCAGGUGGCUCAGACGUAUUGUAGAGAACCUGCUAGAUCCUGCCCUGUUUUCUACUUUGAUCUCACGUACCAAGCAUACGCCAUACCGAUAACAUUUAAAGAAGCCAUUAGCUGGGACCAUGCAGUCAACCCAAGGCGAUCAAAGCAAAAGGUGUCUCCCAUGAUAAAGUUCAUGGACGCUCAUGUAUCUUCAGAUGUGUCAGGAAAGGUAACAGCCAGGCCCCCAGAGGGGACAGUUUCAGUCAUGUGACCAAGCCCCCCUGCUUUGGCCUUUACAACUUAUCGGAAAAAACAACUCACUUUUUGGUUCUGCUUCAACCCUUUUCUGCCAACCUCAUCUGCUUAGCUCAUCAAAAUCUCCAGUCAAAGUUUAUAAAAAUGAAGUGUUGCCUGAUUUUUAAAACUGCAAAUAGAAGCAAAUUCCAUCUUUAAACUACAUGUGUUGUAACUGGAUCUUCGGACAGGCCCCUACCCCAGGAAUUCAGAGGCCCUGUGCAAAGGAGGAAGCCGGCAAAGGCCCGUGUUGAAGAUCCCAGGAAACCCCUCGUUCAGACCCCCAGUCACUGAGCCUUGCUCCAGAACCCAGAGCUGACUAGACAGACGGCGAGUGUCCAGCUCACGGAGCCACAUAGACAGAGACCUGUCACAGACAAGUCCAAGUCCGCACACUGCUCAGCAGAAAAGGAUGUGACCGUGGUCAUGCUCUUUGAUUACAAUAAAAGGCCCGAGUUCAGUGACUAGAGCGAUCCCUUGCCUUGGAUAUCCCUUCUCAUGAGUACCUUGGGCAGAGUACUGACCCAAGUCCUCAGGCUGGGGCUCCAGGGGCGGGUAUCAGGAGACCCUUAACAUCUUAAUGUUACUCUUCCAUAUGGAAGACCCUUCUCCCAGCUCUUUCCUCGUGGGUAAGGAUGAUUGAAGGCCAUCCUCACCAACUCAGAGCGUUGAUAAACCUAAGGAUAGUUGCCAGUUUCAGCCACGAAUGUUUAAGGGUCAUCUUACUGUUGUUACUAUUGUUGUUUUGUUUCUUUUGGGUCUCAGGGGGAGUUGUUUGUUUGUUUGUUUGUCUUGUUCUAUUUUUCUGAAACAGGGUUUCUCUGUGUAACAGAGCCCUGGCUGCCCUGGACUCACUUUGUAGAAAUCCAAAUCACAGAGAUCUGCCUGCCUCUGCCUCCUGAGUGCUGGAAUUAGAGGCAUGUGCCACCGUGCCCGGCCCUCAUUCUAGGAUCUAAGAUUUCCUAUCUACCAUGUUAAUCAAAAGCAGAACUUUAGUUUUUGUUUUUAUUAAGAAGAAAAUGUAUAUCAUCCCAAGUGUCUACUUAUAACUAUUUAUGGUUAAGCAGAUGCACAGACCUGUGGUUACUUCGUUACAUAGUUAGUUGGUGGACCCCUCAGAUGCCGUCAUGGUUAGAAGUGAAGGUCUUCUGCCAAGUCACAUGGUAGGAAUAUGUGGGCAGCUACCCUUAAGUCCAGCCAUGGGCUCCUCGCUGAAGCAGACACAACCCAGGCCCCAGAGAGAUACAGCAGUAGACGACCUCUAGGCUCUAGUCAGUGAAGGUCUAGACCAAGCAGCACUCACCAUAGAUCUGUGUUGAAAAGGACAGACAUGGAAGAGAAACUCCAUACAGGGAUGAGAAAUUCCAUACUUCCAAGAUGAGAAACUUCUGGAACAAUCCCAAAACAGGAUUAUAGAUGCUGGUGACUUGGGCUGAUUUCAGUCGACAGCUUGACUGGCUCAAGAGAAGUCCUGGCAGUGGUGCACACCUUUAGUCCCAGCUCUCUGGAGACAGAGGCAGGUGGAAAAAACCUCACCUUCCCAAAGAAGAGAAACAUGUGGAUUUGUAAAGCACAGCUCUGGGUGUGUACAAGGGUGCUUACAGAAAUGCAGGGCUCUGAGCUAAUCAAAGGUUUGAUUCAUUGAUGGGAUGUGUUAGAACCGCUGAAGGCAGGGCCUGGUUGAUGGAAGUGGGUCACCGGGUCACUGGUGGGGUGGAAGUCUUAGGAGCUAUAACCUGCUCUAACCCCUUCCUGUUUGCUGCGUCAUCAGGGACCUAGAAAGGUGGAGCCAGUCUACCUCUGAAACUUUGGUCUUUCCUCCAGUAAGUCACACUCACGGGUAGUGAAAAAUCUUAUUAACAUAGAUUCUAAGAAAUAGUUUUAAGGUUAAAAUCCAUGCCUUAAACAACAAAGAAUUUAUUGCAAUGAAGAUUUAUGGCUUAAAGUUGAGGUCCUCCGUAAUUGAUUGUCUUAUGACGGUCCCUGUUUAUGUCUGACAAGCUGCCACAACGUAGCGCCACAGGCUAAAUUAAGAGAUCCAAGUGUACACUGCUUAGUUUCUUCUGCAUUCUCUUCUUGGCUUGUGAUGAGCAUCUUCCUCCCGGGUCUUCAUGUGGUCCUUGCUGUAUGGUGGUGUCUUGGUCCCUUCAUCAUCUAAUACACAUAAGUCAUAAAGACAUCAUUAUAACUUAAUUUUGCCACUAAAAAGCCCCUUUCUACAAAUUGUCCCCUGGGGGGGGGUGCCGAUGUCAAGAGUUGAGACUCAACAUGUAACAUCAGGGGAAACAAUUUAGCCAAGUGGGACUGGUGGGUGAAUGGGGAGAAGCCAAUGAACUCUGAGAGGCUAGCAGAGUAAGCACACAAAACUAGACUCAAUCUCCCAAAAAUAACCACAAAGGCAGAAUUUACAGCAGCUUUUGGACCUGGUUCUAGCAGUUGGUAUGGAGAGGAACCCAGAGGUAGAAAAACAGGGACCACUCCAAGGAGUAGGGCAACAUAGAAAUUGGGCUUUCUUCUCAUUAACCCUCAAACCAUUGAGGUGGCUGUUCACCCCUCAACCCAUUUCACAGAUGAGAACACUAAGACUUGGAGAGGUUGAGUGAUUUCCCUAAUAUUCACAGCUUGCUUGUUUGCUUGCGUGCUUGUUUGCUUUUUAUUUUGUUGUCAUUGUUGUUGUUGUUGUUAUUGUUUAUAGAAGUCAGGGUAUUAUGGUUUGGAUAUGAAGAAUUCCCAUUGGCUUCUGUGUGGAACAUUUGGUCCCAGCUGAUAAUGCUGCUUUGAAAGGCUGUGGAACUUUAGGAAGUGGGGCCUUCCUUGAGGAAGUGGGUGACUGGAGGUGGGGACUUACAGGUUAUACCCUAGUUUCUGCUGUGACACGGAGGAAUGGAUGAAGCCUUGAGUAGAUGUUUAUUGUUGACAUAAGCACGGCCAUGUCAAGAGUCCCUAUGCCUCAGACUCAUGGGAGUGGCAAGGCCUUUCCCUAAUCCGUUCAGAUGUUGACUGUGUGCAGAUAGCACCAACUGCAUCUUCCUCCCCCAGGGUGACUGUAGCCUGAGACUGCUCCUCUACAGAGACCCCCACCCCCACCCAUGGCUGUUUGCUAACCUGCAUCCUCAUUCUGCUGAAUAAGUAAAACACAGUGGCGUGGCCAGGCUGCUGGUGCAUCUCCACCAGAGCACAUGGCCCACCCAAUCCCAGCUUCUCUGUUCCUGUGUUCGUCCGUUCUUUCUUUCCUUUGUCCCAGUCAGGUAAACCUCAAAGCCAUGCCUGUCUCAAGCCCUUCCUAGUCUUCUGAGGGCUAACAAGCUGAACUACCAGCUCUCAUGCCACAGACAGAGCCACCAUGCCUUCCCCGUCUUCUAACCAUCAGCCGGAACAGAGUCUCUGUCCCUUAAGCUGAUUUUUCACAGCCAGGAAAAGCUAUGGAUACAGAAGAGGAGCUCCAGAAGCUGCCAAGGUUGGUCUCUAACUCCUAAGCUGAAGCAAUCCUCCUGCAUAUGCCCCCCUGCCCAGUUUCUUAUGGGGAAUGUUAAAAUGAAACCUUAUGUGUA